UACAGAGGUCCCAAGCGUUGUUUGGAUUCACUGGGCGUAAAGGGUGCGUAGGCGGUCGGGUAAGUCUGAUGUGAAAUCUCACAGCUUAACUGUGAAACUGCAUUGGAUACUAUCCGGCUCGAGGAAUGGAGGGGAGACUGGAAUACUUGGUGUAGCAGUGAAAUGCGUAGAUAUCAAGUGGAACACCAGUGGCGAAGGCGAGUCUCUGGACAUUUCCUGACGCUGAGGCACGAAAGCCAGGGGAGCAAACGGG
rnacentral:rRNA from 1 species